CAGAGUCCCUGUCUUCCUCUGCACCUUCCCAGGCCCAGCUGCAGACACUUGACACCACCCACCCCUUCGCCUGUGAGGGAAGCCCAGCUGUUCCAUCACGGGAAAUACCUGGAGUACCUGGGUUGGACCAAAGGCUACCAGAAGUCGGGAUUUCUUUUAAUCCUCUAAUGGCCGAAAGAACUGGAGGGCCUGGGAUUGACUGGAAAAGGUUCUCAAGGGAAGGACUCCCAGAGAAGAGACUCACUAGGAGAGAGACUUAAGACAGCUCUGAAGCAUGCACGGCCAAGGGACAUCUGGUACCUAAAGGCACACAGGGACUUACCUUGAAAAACCCUGGUGUCCAAAGACUGAAACACACCUGCAUUCCAAUCCUAGAUCCUCUCAUAAAGCACCGUCUCCUUGGCC
rnacentral:lncRNA from 1 species